AAAUUGAAGAGUUUGAUCAUGGCUCAGAUUGAACGCUGGCGGCAGGCCUAACACAUGCAAGUCGAACGGUAACAGGAAACAGCUUGCUGUUUCGAUGACGAGUGGCGGACGGGUGAGUAAUGUCUGGGAAACUGCCUGAUGGAGGGGGAUAACUACUGGAAACGGUAGCUAAUACCGCAUAACGUCGCAAGACCAAAGAGGGGGACCUUCGGGCCUCUUGCCAUCGGAUGUGCCCAGAUGGGAUUAGCUAGUAGGUGGGGUAACGGCUCACCUAGGCGACGAUCCCUAGCUGGUCUGAGAGGAUGACCAGCCACACUGGAACUGAGACACGGUCCA
rnacentral:rRNA from 1 species